ACAUCAAAACACACAUCCCUGCACGUACAGUACAUGUCCUGUACGUCUUGUCCACACACACACCAUAAGUACAGUCUAAGGCACUGCAACUCAGUGCAAGAGGCGUCACUACAGUCCCUGGUUCGUAACCAUACUGUAUCACAUCCGGCCGUGAUUAGGAGGCCCAGUGUCGUAGACACCCAGACGCUUUGGAUUUGGGUCUGGUCUCGAGAAAGCAGUAUAUCCUUGGCAUCGGACUCGUUAAAGAAAAAAUCUUUGUCCAGAUCCAGGGAAAGUUCAACAAGUUGGGCACAGGACACAGCAGCACUGCAGCUAUAAUGGACGGUUUUGGACACACCCUCCUCUGAAGUUACACUGAUUUCCAUGAAGCCGUUUGGGGGCUUGGUUUGCCCGCAAGCUGAUCCCACCAUCGGUGGAGUCAACAAGGCACUUACACGCUCCACGCCCCUCGUCCUUCAACGUCACGCCGCCUCUGCUGAGAAAACCCGAGUGGCACCGCUGUCAUACAGCGUGAUAUAAAGGAGCUGCUAAAAAACCUGUCUGGGCUGGCGGAGUAUAUGGCAGCCAUGAUUAAGGUUGCACAAUUCCAGGAAUUUUCAAUACAUUCCCUGGUUGUACUGAAAUCCCAGUUGGAGGAUUCCCAGAAUCAGAAGGAAAUAAGCAAGAAAUACAGAAUCCUCCAACCAGGAUUUCUGGAAAACCAGGUCAUUUAUUGUAAGUUUCCGGAUUUUUGGAAUCCUAGUCAUCAGUAUGAGAGUAGCUAAGACAGCACUUCUCUACAUUACAGCAUUCUAUGGGCCUACCACUAUUCAUUUAUCUUGUUCCUCAACCUUGACUUACAGUAAAAGUAUAUUGAGCAAACAUUGAGCAAAUUAAAGGCUCGAUAUUAUGAUAUUGUUGGUUCUCUAUAUGUAGUCUUUCUACAGCGUUUUUUCUUUGUUACAAUACUGAAUAAGUCUCCAUUACUGCCUUAUGUAAGUCUAAUGCAGACAUCUAGUCUGCUAUGUUUCAUGAGCUGAAAUAAAAGAUCCCACAUAUGUAUAUAUAUAUAUAUUUACCCCCAAAAUAUAUGGGGGAUUGGAAAUGAUGCAGACAAUUACAUUGAUGGAAGCAACAUUCUUUCCGCAAUAUUAAGCUGAUCCACCCCUAAAAUAAAAAUGUUAAAAUAAUUUUAAAAAUAUAUUUAAAAAGAUAAUCCAUCCAUAAAAUUGCACAUUUUAGAGUGCCCUUUUAUUGACCCCAGCACAGAGCAAUUGGCAUGCUGGCUGCAGGAAUGUCUAACAGAGCUGUUGCCAGAGAAUUUAAUGUUAAUUUAUCUACCAUAAGUUGCCUCCAACGUAAUUUGGCAGUACGUCCAACCGGCCUCACAACAGCGGUUUGCUGAUGUCAAUGUUGUGAACAGAGUGCUCCAUGGACAAGGAACACAAUUGCAUUUUAUAGAUGGAAAUUUGAAUGCACAGAGAUACAGUGACGAGAUCCCGAGGCCCAUUGUCGUGUCAUUCAUCCGCCGCCAUCACGUCAUGUUUCAGCAUGAUAAAUCACAGCCCCGUGUUGCAAGGAUCUGUGGACAAUUUCUGGAUGAUAAAAAUGUCCCAGUUCUUCCAUGGCCUGCAUACUAACCAGACAUGUCACCCUUUGAGCAUGUUUGGGAUGCUCUGGAUUGACGUGUACGACAGCUUGUUCCAGUUCCUGACAAUAUCCAGCAACUUCACACAGCAAUUGAAUAGGAGUGGGACAACAUUCCACAAGUCACAAUCAAAAGCCUGAUUAACUCCAUGCAAAUGAGAUAUUGACUGGUUUUCUGAUCCACGCCCCUACCUUUUUUAAAGGCAUUGUGUCAUGUGAAAUCGAUAGAUUAGGGCCUAAUGAAUGUAUUUCAAUUGACUGAUUUCCUCCUAUGAACUGUAAAAAAAAUAUGUGCAUGUUGCGUUUAUAUUUUUGUUCAGUAUAUGUCAACCUGUGUGUGGUUACAAUUGAGAACAUCAUUGCUACAACAUACUGUCUUGGCACGUCUGCUGAACAGCCCCAGGACACCUUUAAAUAGAAAAGCCAUUCACUUUUUUAAGACACAAACCACUGGGCACACACUGGUUGAAUCAAUGUUGUUUCCACUCAUUUCAAUGACAGUGAACCAACGUGGAAUAGACAUUGAAUUGACGUCUGUGCCCAGUGAGAAUGCAUCUUGUAUCCAGUAGGUUGCAUAUUGCUCUGUUGCACGCAAGGCACAUUUUGACAUGCACACAGAAACACAGACAAACAAACACACAGACACAGACACACAAACACAGACACACAAAUACACAGACACACAAACACACAAACACAGACCAGAUCCCCAAGUGUUGGGAAGGAAUAUCAUGCUCUGUGGCUCGAGACAAAACAUUUUGCUAACGCGGACGGUUCCAUCUGCACACAGAGCCCGGCAUUCCCAACGAGAUACAAUGACAACAACAACAACAUAUGUCUUCUAAUGCCACUGUGGAGCAUCCAGAGCCAAUUGUUUUGCAGCCUGGCACAGUAUACCGUUCUGAGAUGUUGUUGUGAUCGCUUGGAUACUAGCCAUGAAAGUGUAAAAAUACAAGAGGACAAGCAACUUCCUCCCAGCAACCUCGACAACCUGGCUUGGCGACGUCUCCUCGUGUGUACGUGUAAUUUGCUAAGUCUCCUGAUUGUCCCUGUUGGCUUCCUGUCUCGUUUAGAGCAGCUAGAGACAGAGGUAAAGUAAUAACACAUAUUUAUUUAUUACUUUGUUUUGUUACUUUGUUUUGACGCUACAGCGUUGCAACCCAAUGCUACAUUGGAUGCCCAUAGGUUAGGUUAGGGAGUUCACCACAGGUGGGAUGUACUAGCAUUCAAUAGAUUUCUAUUGGAAAUUACUAUGAAAAGCAACCCGUUUUGGUGACAUUUCCACCACCCACAAGCAUCCCAGUUGAACGCCAAUGACUGUGGAUGCCCUAUUUCUCACACCUUUCAACUAUGCGUUCAAGUGAGAUUAUCACAAUUUUAUAUGACCCAGAAAGACCCCUCCUCUGGCCUUGUAUGGAGCUUCUAGGCUUUUGCCCAGAGGCACUGGGCCCACCCAAUGCCUGCUGCAUGGGGAUAUAGGGUCCUUUCUUAUCAGUAAGAACAUCAGGUUAAGCUCUGACAUCACCCUCAGGAAGCCAUCCACCACUGAGAGUCAUCCUAACUGACUGUCAAAACAGACACUUCCCCAUUCAUUCUCAGUUUUUAUGAAACCAACACUAAUUCCUUUGCAGCAUCAUCAUGUUCUAGUUUUUUCUUUGUUACAUGUGACCGUGCAUGUGACUCAGAGGCAGAGGCACAAGAUGACCUUCUGGUCAGCCAGUACUUCUGUAAUGAACCCCCUGGCUGGAUUUUUAUAGGAUGCUUUUAAUGGGAGAUACACAAGAGCAUAAAUCAAUCUGAACUGGAGAUGAACUGCGAUGUGUCAAGACACAUACUGUAUGUGCCAAGCUACCAAGCCAGGCCCUGCCCCAGUAGGUUUGGUGAGGGAUGGAAAAGUCUAUUUUGGUCAUGUUUUGAAAAUGUUGGUAGUUUGAACUGACAGUUUUGUAUGAAUGUGUUAUCCUCGAUGGCCUGUCAAAUCAAUAAUACCACCCUGGUAUUCUGUUUCCUCGUUCACUACAGACAGCAGUGCCUACUAGGCCACAGACGUUUCCAGUGAAGGAGCUUAUAAUGCCUCUACCACACAGCCACCUCACUCACGUGAACAAGGCAUUGGAGGUUUGGUCUCAUAAACUAGUCCCAGAUGGAGUUUUGAUGAGAUAAAAAAAAUGACAUGGAAAUAAGUCAGAAACACUGUAGCUUGUCAUUGUUAUCCUUCUAUCCUGUUCUUGUAUGUGUAAAAUGUUUUGUAAUGAUUGUUUUCAGUGACCUGCUGCCUCUGAGUAAUAGAAGUGUUAUGUAGAUUAACCAUGCCGUGGGCAGUACUGCCUGGGCACACAUUCAAGCAGCUAUACAUAAUGUUCCAAAACAAGACAGUAACAUAACAAUAUUUUUCAGGUUUCAGGUGACCUGAACCUUUCAGUUUGGUCACAUAAAUUCAAUUCCCAUUAUGGUUCAAAUAUGUUCAAAAAUUGAAACUGUCAAAUUUGGCAUUGACUAUGUCCACGGUCUUCUGACUGAUGUGACUGAAUGACUUUUCACCAGAAUUCCCCUGCCCAGUCAUGUUUCUUCAGUUUAGACCUAAACUGAACAUGACACAAUGCUUCACUCAAAAGCAUGUCAUAGAGUAGGUUUUGAAAAGGGUGCUUUCCCAGAAAACCUAGUGUAUUAUGCAGGUAAUAUCCUCUUCUUUGGGAUGGUCUAUUUGAGGAGAACAAGUUAUAUUCGCUCUCUCUAGUCAAUUCUAACCAAUGCAACUUUCUGAGACAUACACUACAAAAGUAUGUGAACACUCCUUCAAAUGACUUGACUACUUCAGCCACACCCAUUGCUGAGAGGUGUAUAAAACUGAGCACACAGCCAUGCAAUCUCUAUUGACAAACAUUGGCAGUAGAAUGGCCCGUACUGAAGAGCUCAGUGACUUUCAACAUGGCACCAUCAUAGGAUGCCAGCCACCUUCCCAACAAGUCAGUUGUCUGCCCUGGUCAACUGUAAGAGCUGCUAUUGUGAAGUGGAAAUGUCUAGGAGCUCAGCCGCAAAGCGGUAGGCCACACAAGCUGACAUAAUGGGACUACCAAGGGCUGAACUGCGUAGCGAACAAGAACUCUUCUUCGGGAGCUUCAUGAAAUGGGUUUCUAUGGCUAAGCAGCCGCACACAAGCCUAAGAUCACCAUGCGCAAUUCCAAGCGUUGGUUGGAAUGACUGGGGGCACAGUACAUGCCCUCCAGGAGACCUACAGCACCGAUGUCACAGGAAGGCCAAAAAUAUCAAGGACAUCAACCAACCGAGCCACGGCCUGUUGACCUGUCACGCCCUGGUCGAAGUAUUUUGUGUUUAUCUUCAUUUAUUUGGUCAGGCCAGGGUGUGACAUGUUUUUUUUGUAUGUGGUGUGUAUGUAGUGGGAUUGUAGCUUAGUGGGGUGUUCUAGGUAAGUCUAUGGCUGUCUGAAGUGGUUCUCAAUCAGAAGCAGGUGUUUAUCGUAGUCUCUGAUUGGGAACCAUAUUUAGGCAGCCAUAUUCUUUGGUUGUGUUGUGGGUGAUUGUCCUUAGUGUCUUGAUGUCCUUAUUCUGUGUUAGUUCACACUAGUAUAGGCUGUUUCGGUUUUCGUUACGUUUAUUGUUUUGUAGUGUUCGUAUUUUAGAUUCGUGUUACGUUUGUUUCAAUAAACAUGGAUCGCAAUCUACACGCUG